rnacentral:rRNA from 1 species
UACGUAGGGGGCUAGCGUUGUCCGGAUUUAUUGGGCGUAAAGAGCGUGUAGGCGGCCAGAUAGGUCUGCUGUGAAAACUCGAGGCUCAACCUCGAGAUGUCGGCGGAAACCAUUUGGCUAGAGUCCGGAAGAGGAAAGUGGAAUUCCUGGUGUAGCGGUGAAAUGCGCAGAUAUCUGGAGGAAUACCGGUGGCGAAGGCGGCGAUCCUGGACCGGCAUUGACGCUGAGGAGCGAAAGCCAGGGGAGCAAAGCGGG